rnacentral:rRNA from 1 species
AGGACGAACGCUGGCGGCGUGCCUAACACAUGCAAGUGGAGCGACGAACCAGGCUUCGGCCUGGGGCAGAGCCGCGAACGGGUGAGUAACACGUGGGUAACCUGCCCUGAUGAUUGGGACAACCCGAGGAAACUCGGGCUAAUACCGAAUGUGCCCUCCGGCCUCAAGGCCGUUGGGGAAAGGAAGCUUCGGCCUCCGCAUCGGGAUGGGCCCGCGGCCCAUUAGCUUGUUGGUGAGGUAACGGCUCACCAAGGCAACGAUGGGUAGCUGGUCUGAGAGGACGAUCAGCCACACUGGGACUGAGACACGGCCCAGACUCCUACGGGGGGCAGCAGUGAGGAAUUUUCGUCAAUGGGGGAAACCCUGAACGAGCAACGCCGCGUGCAGGAUGAAGGCCUUCGGGUCGUAAACUGCUUUUCUCGUGGGACGAGCGAAGGACGGUACCAGAGGAAGAACGCCCCGGCUAACGUACGUGCCAGCAGCCGC